GUGUUUCGGUUGUUUAUCAAGAUGGCCUCCUCCGGGUGUUUAGCAUCGGCACGUUAGCAGCAGUGCGAUGGAUGACAGCCUGCAGCAGCCGAGCGACGGCUCGCUCGAGUGGUCGGGGCUGUUCGUCGAGGAGAUCGACCAUCGCGAGAUCCAACUGUUCGAGGUGGUGGGCAAAGGGACCUUUGGCCUUGUGCGCAAGGGUCGCUGGCGAGGCCAGGAUGUGGCCGUCAAGUCCAUUGCCUCCGACCACGAGAAGCGUGCAUUCCUCGUAGAGGUGCGACAGCUGUCACGAGUAGACCACCCCAACAUAGUCAAGCUGUAUGGUGCCAGGGUGCGAACACCGGUUUGCCUGGUGAUGGAGUAUGCGGAAGGGGGAUCCCUCUACAAUGUGCUGCACACGAUGAAGCAGCUGCAGUACACGCUGGCGCACGCCCUCAGCUGGAUGCUGCAAUGUGCUCGUGGAGUGGCCUACCUGCAUGGCAUGAAGCCCAAGGCCCUGGUGCACCGAGACCUCAAGCCACCCAACCUACUGCUUGUCAACGGGGGCACAGUGCUCAAGAUCUGCGACUUUGGCACAGCUUGUGAUGUGCAGACCCAGAUGACCAACAACAAGGGCAGUGCUGCAUGGAUGGCGCCCGAGGUGUUUGAGAGUUCGACGUACACGGAGAAGUGUGACAUCUUCAGCUGGGGAAUCAUCCUGUGGGAAGUGCUGACAAGACGCAAGCCCUUUGAGGACUGCGGCCCACCAGCCUUCUGCAUCAUGUGGGCCGUCCACCAGGGAAAGCGGCCUUCACUGAUACGUGGCUGUCCCACUGUUCUGGAGGAGCUGAUGGUUAGUUGCUGGUCUAAGCAUGCCGAGCAGCGACCGCCCAUGGCCGAGGUGGAGAAGACCAUGGACCACUUGGCGGCCCUAGUUCCUGGGGCCGACGUCCCUCUGGCAUAUCCGGCACCACAGAUGGAUGAUGCCGAGUCGCUGGGCAGUGACGAGUGGAGUGAGCCAGCUGGUCUAGGGACCAACCCGUCGUGGGGCUCCCAGCGACAGGCCACCUCGCUCGUGUUGCAGGGAGCUACAGACACCACCACAACCACCGAGGCCCAUAGAAGCAGCCGAGAGCAGCCGCCACAAAUGAGUGCCCCAGCGUCGUUGUCCUGCAGCAGUGAGGACUUGCAGCGGCUGACUGAGCUCUCCAUCCAGGAUGGGGCUGCGGGAGAUGCCAUCGUCCCACCAUGGACACCUGGCCGGGUUGGAUCGGCAGGCUCCCAGCAAUUGAACGUGGCAACUGGCUCGGGCGACCGGUGCACUCCGCCUACCGGGGCAAGGACGAGCGGCCACCGUGUCCUCACCCGAGCUUCCACACGAGCCUACUGUCGCGGCCAGACCCUUCGCGGAAGACCUCCUGGCCGGCUACCCCAGACUGUCCGCAGGAGGUGGACUUGGGCCUCAACGCUCACCUGCUCAUUGAGCCAGCCUUGCAGCCCCUGAGCCCAGUUCCCAGCUGCCAGGAGUCGGUGCGCAUCUUUGACGACCACCGCUGCCUGGCACAGUGGUACUUCAAGCUGCAGUCGGAGAUCUGCCUGCUCAACCAGCGAAGCAAGGAGCUGGACAAGGAGUUGGAACUUUCGGUCUCUGAGCCCCAGCGCACGUACUACGAUGAGGCCGAGCAACUGGAGAAAGAACAGGAGCAGCUGAAGCUUCUGC
rnacentral:misc_RNA from 1 species